GAUGAACGCUGGCGGCGUGCCUAAUACAUGCAAGUCGAGCGAACAGACGAGGAGCUUGCUCCUCUGACGUUAGCGGCGGACGGGUGAGUAACACGUGGAUAACCUACCUAUAAGACUGGGAUAACUUCGGGAAACCGGAGCUAAUACCGGAUAAUAUAUUGAACCGCAUGGUUCAAUAGUGAAAGACGGUUUUGCUGUCACUUAUAGAUGGAUCCGCGCCGCAUUAGCUAGUUGGUAAGGUAACGGCUUACCAAGGCGACGAUGCGUAGCCGACCUGAGAGGGUGAGCGGGCAGACGGGAACGGAGACACGGUCAGGAGACCAACGGGAGGGCGCAGUAGGGAAGGGUGGGCAAUGGGCGACAGCAUGAUAAAACAAGUGUACGAGAGUAAAAAAAAUGUUGAAGUAGUAAAGCACUUUUAUAAGGUACCAAAAAAUAAGUCCGUGACUAAGCACGUGGGGGCGGUAGCGAAACAGAAAGGGACGGCUAACUCCGUG
rnacentral:rRNA from 1 species